UGUCAUUUGCUAUUAGUUUAUAGGGUUAUUGGAAAAAAAAGUCCACAAUGUGCAGAAAAAGUGACCGGCAUUUGAGCACGCCUCUAUUGAGAAUUGGUAUCAUGCGUGUGAAAAGCAUACUAUCCGCAAGACUGCAAGAGUGAAGAGUCACGGCUGUCUUGCUCUCUGCCUCUCUCCCAAGUCCCAAGUUCAAACGGGCAAAUCUUGAAACCCAGCAAGCGUUUUCUUUAAAUUGGUUGCAAUGGCUGCUCAAAUCCAGAUUUCCAUUUUCCAGGUGCAACUCAGCAAUUGGAAGGUGGAUAUGCAAGUCAAUCUCGAUCAGAAAAGAAAAAACAAGAAAGAAAAAAAUUGAUUCCAAAUUUCCAGGUUUUAUUGUUCUAUCACUUCUAUCAGUUCUAUGCUAAAGUGUUUAUCAUUCAAAGUUUAGUAUUUUGGCUUGCUUGUUUGAGUAUUGUCUAGCUAGUUUCAUUGUUUCAAUAAUGUUUCCUCGGAAACAACUCUCGAGUUCUCAAAAAAGAAAAAGAAAGAAAAGAGACGAAGAAAUUAUUCAAUCUCAACGGGGAUUUUUAGAUAAAUAUUUUGUUAAAGAAACAAAUGAAUCUGUUGAAGAUCAUGUUGAGAAUUUAGUAAAUGAACCUGAACUACAAAUUCAUUCUAAUGAGUUUGUAGAAAAUCAGAAUGAGGUAAACGAAGAACCUGAUGAUAUAGGUGAAAAUGAAAGUAACGAAACAGAAAAUAAAGAAAAUCUUUGCCAUGAUGAAAUUAUUGCCAAUAAACUUGAAUGCUUGAAAUCAUCAGCUGAUUUGAAUAUUUUUGAUCCUAGAGUCUGGGAUAGUCUAGAUUAAAAAAUGAGAGACUUGCUUGUAGAAAAAGGGCCUAUUACAGAAACUAAUAUCAACUUUCCUAAGGAUGAAAGGGAACAACAAUCUGCUCAAGAGUCCUUUAGAACUGAUUACUUUUUUAUUUUAGUUGAUAUGGCUCUUUCUCAAUUAAAAAGCAGGUUUCAACAAUGAAAACUUUUGAAUCUAUUUUUGGCUUCUUAUUUGAUGCAUCAAAGUUAGCUCACUUGGAUGAUGAUGAAUUGAAAAGUUGUUGUUUGAAUCUUGAAAAUGCUUUGAGAAAUGGUGAUGGUUCUGAUAUUGAUGCGAAAUAUUUGCUUAUGGAGUUACAAAUUUUGCAGGAGAUGCUGCCGAAUGAGGUGUAUGAAACAGAUAGGCCUUGGACAUCCAUUCAAAUUAUGGAGUUUGCUAAGAAAAUGGAUAUGUUUCCAAGUGUUAUGGUUGCCUACAUGAUUUUAUUGACUAUACCGGUGACAGUAGCAUCCGCCGAAAGAAGUUUUUCAAAAUUGAAGUUAUUAAAGUCUUAUCUUCGGACUACCAUGACUCAAGAUAGGCUGAAUGGAUUAGCUAUUUUAACCAUUGAAAGAAAUAUGUUGGCAAAUGUUGACUACAAAAAGAUAAUUGAUGAUUUUGCUUCAAGAAAUGCAAAAAGACAUCAUUUUAGAUGAUUUGUAACUCCUUUAUAUUACAGGGUUUUGGUUUUAUGUCCCCCCCCUAUUGUGUAAUGUUUCUUUAUGUAAUAGCUCUUAAAAAAAGAUUUAGAGUAUGACAUUUGAGGCUA